rnacentral:piRNA from 1 species
UCCAUUGGUGUCUGCUUAGUGAUCCUC